rnacentral:rRNA from 1 species
UACGAAGGGGGCUAGCGUUGUUCGGAAUCACUGGGCGUAAAGCGCACGUAGGCGGAUCUUUAAGUCAGGGGUGAAAUCCCGAGGCUCAACCUCGGAACUGCCUUUGAUACUGGGGAUCUCGAGUCCGGGAGAGGUGAGUGGAACUGCGAGUGUAGAGGUGAAAUUCGUAGAUAUUCGCAAGAACACCGGUGGCGAAGGCGGCUCACUGGCCCGGUACUGACGCUGAGGUGCGAAAGCGUGGGGAGCAAACAGG